CUGGCUCAGACUCAGUCGUAACAAGGUAGCCGUAGAGUUUGAUCCUGGUGUCAUACUGUCUGGGAAACUGCCUGAUGGAAGAGGAUAACUACUGGAAACGGUAGCUAAUACCGCAUAACGUCGCAAGACCAAAGAGGGGGACCUUCGGGCCUCUUGCCAUCAGAUGUGCCCAGAUGGGAUUAGCUAGUAGGUGAGGUAACGGCUCACCUAGGCGACGAUCCCUAGCUGGUCUGAGAGGAUGACCAGCCACACUGGAACUGAGACACGGUCCAGACUCCUACGGGAGGCAGCAGUGGGGAAUAUUGCACAAUGGGCGCAAGCCUGAUGCAGCCAUGCCGCGUGUGUGAAGAAGGCCUUCGGGUUGUAAAGCACUUUCAGCGGGGAGGAAGGCAGUGAGGUUAAUAACCUUAUCGAUUGACGUUACCCGCAGAAGAAGCACCGGCUAACUCCGUGCCAGCAGCCGCGGUAAUACGGAGGGUGCAAGCGUUAAUCGGAAUUACUGGGCGUAAAGCGCACGCAGGCGGUCUGUCAAGUCGGAUGUGAAAUCCCCGGGCUCAACCUGGGAACUGCAUUCGAAACUGGCAGGCUAGAGUCUUGUAGAGGGGGGUAGAAUUCCAGGGGUAGUGGUGAAAUGCCCAGACAUCUGCAGGAAUACAGUCGUGCGAA
rnacentral:rRNA from 1 species